GCCGAGGUGGCGGAGUAUGGCUUAACGCGCGGGCCUGCUAAGUCCGUUCCCCUCUGGGGAGCUUGGGUUCAAAUCCCAACCUCGGCG
rnacentral:tRNA from 1 species